AGAACUAUAUUUAAACCUGUGAUGGGAUUUUCCCCAUUCUUGGUUACGUGGAGUGCAAAAAAAUUCCUGACUCUCUUUGUUGCACAGUUGAUAUGUGGCAUUCAGUUGUUGCUCUUACAGAGUCAAAGAACAUGG